CCUACGGGUGGCUGCAGUGGGGAAUCUUAGACAAUGGGGGAAACCCUGAUCUAGCCAUGCCGCGUGAGCGAUGAAGGCCUUAGGGUUGUAAAGCUCUUUCGUGGGGGAAGAUAAUGACUGUACCCCAAGAAGAAGCCCCGGCUAACUCCGUGCCAGCAGCCGCGGUAAUACGGAGGGGGCUAGCGUUGUUCGGAAUUACUGGGCGUAAAGCGCACGUAGGCGGACGAGAAAGUCAGGGGUGAAAUCCCGGGGCUCAACCCCGGAACUGCCUUUGA
rnacentral:rRNA from 1 species